rnacentral:lncRNA from 1 species
CUGAGACGAUGCUCGGUCUUGUCAACUUUUUACUGAUGAGAUCUCUCAGCUCGAUCUCUCCCGGGAACCUACCUUCUUUCAAUUUAGAAAACACCUGCAAAUAGAACCACCAGGUGGUACAAGUUACUAUGACUGAACUUUAACAUCUUGAAACAUUCAUUGAUAAGUGAGUUAAUACUACUAACCGGUUCCCCGUUGCAGAGAACUUCAAAGGCCCCUGAGCUUUGAAGGUAAGACUGGAGAAAGUUUCCGACAAGCCAAGUGGAAGCCAUGGAUCCAAAUCUAUUGGCCCUCAAGGAGUUGAACCAAGCAGGUGGCUGCGCAAU